CCUACGGGAGGCAGCAGUGGGGAAUAUUGCACAAUGGAGGGAACUCUGAUGCAGCGACGCCGCGUGAGUGAAGAAGUAUUUCGGUAUGUAAAGCUCUAUCAGCAGGGAAGAAAGAAAUGACGGUACCUGAGUAAGAAGCCCCGGCUAACUACGUGCCAGCAGCCGCGGUAAUACGUAGGGGGCAAGCGUUAUCCGGAAUUACUGGGUGUAAAGGGAGCGUAGACGGUAAUGCAAGUCUGGAGUGAAAGGCGGGGGCGCAACCCCCGGACUGCUCUGGAAACUGUGUAACUGGAGUGCAGGAGAGGCAGGCGGAAUUCCUGGUGUAGCGGUGAAAUGCGUAGAUAUUAGGAGGAACACCAGUGGCGAAGGCGGCCUGCUGGACUGUAACUGACGUUGAGGCUCGAAAGCGUGGGGAGCAAACAGGAUUAGAUACCCGUGUAGUC
rnacentral:rRNA from 1 species